rnacentral:lncRNA from 1 species
UCUUGCCCUAAACCCAGCGCACUGGUCUCUAACAUCUCAAAGACAUGAUAUCGAAAGAUAAGAGAUUCUUAAACCAUGCCUCUAUGUUUAUGUUCGACACCUUCAGCACCCCCGCAGAGUUCACAUCUCGCGGAAGAACUCUCGAAACAGAUCUCGAAUGAAACAUUUCACAAUCGAAGAAGGAUAUGAGACGACAACUCAUCACCUUCCUCCCCACUAUUCACAAACUCAUAAAAAGCGUUAUCCAAUUAUCGUACUAUAAAAAGAAAGCCGCGGAGCGGCAGGGAUUCAAAGCCACACACGGCCAGUCCUGAAAUACAAACAAGGCCAUUCAAGGCCGAAACAUAAAAACAUAAAAAAAAUCUCUCGCAAGAGAUCUAACCCAAGUCACCCUCAGAACUUACGCCCCCUCUUCACCCACUGCCUCGUCC